UCCUACGGGAGGCAGCAGUUAGGAAUUUUGGGCAAUGGCCGCAAGGCUGACCCAGCAACGCCGCGUGGGGGACGAAGGCUCUCGGGUUGUAAACCCCUUUUGGCGGGGACGAUGAUGACGGUACCCGCCGAAUAAGCCCCGGCUAACUACGUGCCAGCAGCCGCGGUA
rnacentral:rRNA from 1 species